UCUUAAAAGGAGCCUGUGAGCUUCUCUCGAGGUACUUUCCAUUUUGCCUUUGUAUGGGAUGGACAGCCCCAGCAUGCUGCUAUAACAAAUGCUCUUGUCGAUUGCAUACAUGUAUGGUGGUCUUUUGUGGAACUUCUCCAGGACCCUAACAAAUAGAUUCAUCCUGAUGAAUUCACAGUAUGAUGGUGUCAUUGGGACAUGAUAAAAGGUAAGCGUGGGGCCUAGCUGGGAGGCAUGUCCUUGGAGGCUAAUCCUGCCUCAGUCUCCUCCUAUAUUCGUAUCCCAGGAUGAUGUAGGCUGUUGUGACACACCUUUCCCCACAAGAAACCAUGAUUGAUCGUACCUCCUUUUGCUUUGCUCCAGCUUUUGGUCCCAGGGACAAAAAAUCCUGACUAAGUGAUGAUAAUUGUUGUGUAACAGCUUCUUCCAAGACUGAAGUAUUCCAUCCUGCAGCUCUGUAAACACAAAGGAAAUAAAAGCUGAGAAUCCCUCAAAGGAACUGAAGCUGAGCUGCAAAGAAGACUCUCAGAGGAGAAAAGCUACAAAAACAGCAGCCUGGAAGAAGAAACCAACCCGGCUGCCUGGAAGGAGUUUAGAAAAUAGUCACUUGGGAAGGACACGCUCCAAUCUGUGGAGCUGCCUGCAGGCUGUGCAGUGUGCUCCAGGUUCCCAGCUUCGAGAGCUGUGUCACCCGUGCUGGGGUGGGCUUUGGUGACACAGCUGUCUUUGAGUCAUUUCUGCUCCUAUGGGUGGCCCCUCACCCAUAUUCCUGUAAGUGACCCCAAUAAAGCUCAUUGGUUCACCAA